rnacentral:rRNA from 1 species
GGUGGGUAGUUUGACUGGGGCGGUCUCCUCCUAAAGAGUAACGGAGGAGCACGAAGGUUGGCUAAUCCUGGUCGGACAUCAGGAGGUUAGUGCAAUGGCAUAAGCCAGCUUGACUGCGAGCGUGACGGCGCGAGCAGGUGCGAAAGCAGGUCAUAGUGAUCCGGUGGUUCUGAAUGGAAGGGCCAUCGCUCAACGGAUAAAAGGUACUCCGGGGAUAACAGGCUGAUACCGCCCAAGAGUUCAUAUCGACGGCGGUGUUUGGCACCUCGAUGUCGGCUCAUCACAUCCUGGGGCUGAAGUAGGUCCCAAGGGUAUGGCUGUUCGCCAUUUAAAGUGGUACGCGAGCUGGGUUUAGAACGUCGUGAGACAGUUCGGUCCCUAUCUGCCGUGGGCGCUGGAGAACUGAGGGGGGCUGCUCCUAGUACGAGAGGACCGGAGUGGACGCAUCACUGGUGUUCGGGUUGUCAUGCCAAUGGCACUGCCCGGUAGCUAAAUACGGAAGAGAUAAGUGCUGAAAGCAUCUAAGCACGAAACUUGCCCCGAGAUGAGUUCUCCCUGACUCCCUGAGAGUCCUGAAGGAACGUUGAAGACGACGACGUUGAUAGGCCGGGUGUGUAAGCGCAGCGAUGCGUUGAGCUAACCGGUACUAAUGAACCGUGAGGCUUAACCUUACAACGCCGAAGCUGUU